AACGCCGUCUAAACGAAAGGCACAUCUGAUAAAAUAUUUUUACGUUUUCACUCGCGAGCGUAUUCGUGUAAACAGGACCUAAAGUUACACAAUGACACAAACUAAGCGACGGAGGCAGCAGUAGAGCAGCAACUCUCGCGUUCUGUGAGGUUAAAUUACUAGAUUCACUGACAACAGAGAAGUAACUCAUACAACCCCACUUCAUACGUAAGACUCAAACUAUCCCCUUUAACUGCCUGUAAAA